GGCUCAGGAUGAACGCUGGCGGCGUGCUUAACACAUGCAAGUCGAACGGGAUCCAAGGAGCGCUUGCGUUUUUUGGUGAGAGUGGCGAACGGGUGAGUAACACGUGAGUAACCUGUCCUUUUCUUUGGGAUAAGCUCCUGAAAGGGUGUUUAAUACCUUAUGUUCUGUCUGCCUCGCAUGGGGUGGGUGGGAAAGAUUUUUUCGGUGAAGGGUGGGCUCGCGGUCUAUCAGCUUGUUGGUGGGGUGAUGGCUUACCAAGGCUUUGACGGGUAGCCGGCCUGAGAGGGUGGUCGGUCACAUUGGGACUGAGAUACGGCCCAGACUCCUGCGGGAGGCAGCAGUGGGGGAUAUUGCACAAUGGGCGCAAGCCUGAUGCAGCGACGCCGCGUGGGGGAUGAAGGCCUUCGGGUUGUAAACUUCUUUUGCUCUGAACAAGGCGCACCAUGGGGUGUGUUGAGUGUAGGGGUUGAUUAGCGCCGGCUAACUACGUGCCAGCAGCCGCGGUAAUACGUAGGGCGCGAGCGUUGUCCGGAAUUAUUGGGCGUAAAGGGCUUGUAGGUGGCUGGUUGCGUCUGUCGUGAAAGCUCAUGGCUUAACUGUGGGUUUGCGGUGGGUACGGGCUGGCUUGAGUGCAGUAGGGGAGGCUGGAAUUCCUGGUGUAGCGGUGGAAUGCGCAGAUAUCAGGAGGAAUACCGGUGGCGAAGGCGGGUCUCUGGGCUGUUACUGACACUGAGGAGCGAAAGCAUGGGGAGCGAACAGGAUUAGAUACCCUGGUAGUCCAUGCUGUAAACGGUGGGAACUGGGUGUGGGGGGCUUUUUUGUCUUCUGCGUCGUAGCUAACGCGUUAAGUUCCCCGCCUGGGGAGUACGGUCGCAAGGCUAAAACUCAAAGGAAUUGACGGGGGCCCGCACAAGCGGCGGAGCAUGCGGAUUAAUUCGAU
rnacentral:rRNA from 1 species